AGCAAUUUGGCGCAGUGGAAGCGCGCCGGGCUCAUAACCCGGAGGGUAUGCAUCUCCUGCCUUCCCCCCUCCACACGUGUGGUAGGUUGCUAACAUGGUAUAGUCGCACGAUCGAAACGUGCAAUUGCUA
rnacentral:tRNA from 1 species